GGGCCUCGGUGCGGGGGCAUGGAGGGGCGCUCGGCGGAGGAGCUGGCGGUGCUGCCGGCACGCGGAGGCGAUGCGUGCGGCGCCGGCGAGUGGUGCGGGGUCGGGGGGCGGCUUCCUCUCAGGGAAGGCCGUGCGAGUGCGGAGCCGUGUUGGUGUUUGGGGUGUGCGAAGGAGGAGGCCCCGUAGGGCCUGGCUGUAGCCAGCAAAGCCCGGGCGGGCAGUGGAGCAAGGCGCGUGGGUGCUGUGUUGGCCGGAGGGUGCGGAGCUGGCAGAAGGUUUGUGAAGAUGUGCUUCCUGUGGACGUCCCUUCUUGGGCCGAGCCAGGGCUGCAGUUGUGUGUGAUUGUGUUUGUUGCUUGGGAGAACUGCUGCCUUAGUAGAGUGGGGGGAGGGAGAGGGAGAUUGUAAGACUGCCAUCAGUCAGGAGCACGGCACGUUUCUGCCCGCUUUGCUCAUGCUGUUGUGUGGGUCCCCGCGAAGCAUGGGUGAGCCAGGGUGGCCCCGUGUGUGUGGCAGCAUUGUGCGCGGCUGUGGAAUGGAGUGAGAGUGAUUGUAAUGAAAAUGCAGCUGGCCGUAUUGAUGGUAGGGAAUGGUUGAAUCCCCAGCCGUGAGGCGCAAGACGAGGCGCUGGAUGCUAAGGUGGAAAGCGGAGCUGGUGUGUGCCAGGAGGCAGGCGUGGUGAGGUGCGCUGUGGAGCCUGCUGUUGUUGGCGCUGGGCUGGGGAGGCCCCUGAACAUGGCGCUGUGUGCUGCGUGUGCCAGCCGCAACAGAUUGCCGUGUGGAAGCAGGGAGAGGAUGAAGGAGGCCGAGGGCCCUUUUCUCGGGGCCGGCUCCUCUGUGGCCUCUUGCUUGCCGGAGAGAAGGGCUGCCCGCUGGGCACAGGGAGCGCCUUCUAGCUGCCGUCCCGUGCCCUGUCCUCCAGCCCCCUCCUCAUGCUAUGUGGAACGCCAUUGCCAGCAGUGCGGCUGCCAUUUUAGAACCUUGGCCGCGUCACAGCCGUCACCUUGGUCACCGCUGCCCCGGCCAACGCACUCGCCUCUGAGAGCUCUGGCAGCCAUGUCAGCAGCAAAGAGAGCGAGGGGCGAAGCUUGCCCAAUUUCCCAUCGGAAGGGAGAGCUGGGGGCCCCAGUAGCGAAGAGGAGGAGGGGGGCCGCCUUGACCAUCAAGCGGAGGAGGAAGGAGAAGAGAGUCCGUUUCCAUCGCGCCUGGACCAGCGCUGUGACCACCUCCGUGGAGCCCAUGGAGGUGGAUCCACCUCCAGAGGAGCCCAUGGAGGUGGAUCCGCCUGCGGCACAGCUGGCCUGGCACCACACCACCGUGCCAGGCCCCGCAUCGGCGCCGUCCCUCCACCGCCGCUGGUCCAGGCGCUCGGCUCCUUACCCGCUGCGCGGCCCCCGCCCCCAGCAUUAGCUGGGUGGCAUGAGUUACCAUCUGCUCCUCCUCUGGAGCCAAUUCUGCGGGCCCCCAGCUCCAUCUUCACCCUGUUAAGUCCCCGGCCCUGGUUUACUUGUUGAUUUUAGCGUUAAGUUUAGGGUUAGUGUUAGGAUUAGGUUAUUGUUCAUGUUGUAGUGUUAGGAGUAGGUUAUUGUUCAUGUUUUAGAGUUAGGCAUAGGUUCCUUGUAGUCUUUUAGUGUUAGGCAUAGGUUCCUGUUCAUACUUGACAGUUAGGGGUCGAUUGCUGGUGUCAAGUGGCAGUGAGCAGCUCUCACUCGGUAAGCACACGCCUGAUUGAUGGUGCGAAGACAUGAGUGCGAGUGCCGUGAGCACGGAGGCCCGAUGGCAUCUUGGAUGCAUUGAAUUUCCAGCUUGUGACUUUUGUGUUGCAGACCGUCGAGGAGCAGAGUGGGAGCGGCUGCGCCAUUGCGUUGGGCCUCAGGAGAACAGUGUGUGACUGUGUGUGGAGCGU